rnacentral:rRNA from 1 species
CCCUUAGAUGUUUUGGGCCGCACGCGCGCUACACUGAUGCAUUCAACGAGUUUCUUCCUGGUCCGAGAGGAAUGGGUAACCUUUUGAAAGUGCAUCGUGAUAGGGAUAGACUAUUGCAAUUAUUGGUCUUCAACGAGGAAUUCCUAGUAGACGUAGUUCAUCAGACUGCAUCGAUUACGUCCCUGCCCUUUGUACACACCGCCCGUCGCUCCUACCGAUUGAAUGCUCAGGUGAGCCAUUCGGACUUUCAUCAUGCUGGUUUCCAGUUUUGAUGAAGGAAAGUCUUGCGAACCUUAUCAUUUAGAGGAAGGAGAAGUCGUAACA